ACUCAUGUAUCACAUCGAAGUUAAAAAAAUGGCCCACAAUCAUCGCCAUCAUCACCUGUUGGCAAUUUACCGGAGCAGCUUGGGAAAAUGAAGCCGCGUGGGUCUAAAUAUCGCCUCGCUACGUGCAGAACCACCCGUGCUCUUAUCCAUAACACCAGUACUCCUGUUUUAUCAUCUUCAACAACAUAGUAGCUAGCAAUCCUUGAGUUUUCCAUUAAUUAAUGGCGCUAAAUUCCUCGUCUCUUGGUUCAACAAUAAGCCUAAGUUCAAUCUCUUACAGAUCCAAAAACCCUAGAAAUUCCCUCAGUUGCAAGCACCUCUUUCUAAAUUUCUCCUCGCCAGUAACUGAAUCACUUCGUGCUUCGGCUGACUCCACUCCCAAAGCGAAAUUCGUUGCCAGACGUAAAGAGUCGGUUUCGGUCCGGCAACUCGGACGCCCUCUAAUGGAGUAUAUGAGUUUGCCAGCGAGUCAGUACUCCGUGUUGGAUGCAGAGAGGAUAGAGAGGGUAGACGACAACACGUUUAGGUGUUAUGUGUAUAGUUUCAAGUUUUUUGCUUUCGAAAUUUGUCCUGUUUUGCUUGUUAGAGUUGAAGAGCAGCCUGAUGGUUGUUGCAUUAGGCUUUUGUCCUGUAAGCUUGAAGGUUCGCCGAUUGUGGUUGCACAGAAUGAGAAGUUUGACGCUUCCAUGGUCAACCAAAUUUCUUGUGAUAGCAACCAAAGCAACUCAACAAUACAACAGCUAACUUCAGAUGCAGUCAUUGAGGUUAGCAUUGAUAUUCCUUUUGCAUUUAGAGCAAUUCCAACUGAAGCAAUAGAAUCGACUGGUGCCCAAAUCCUUCAGCAGAUACUUGGGCAGAUACUUCCCCGCUUUAUGGCACAGGUUUGAGGAAAUCUCAAUUAAAUUAGCUCAUGAAGAAUGAAGUAGGCUACCUGCCAGUUGCAAAGCUGGCAUAUGAUCUCCUAGUACCUCAUUUUGGUUAAACCCUUGCGUGUUCACUAUUUGGGCGAGUCUUGAGGUUCUUGGUCCAGCUUGUGAAGGACUAUCAUGCAUGGGCCUCUGGUGAUGCAUCAAGGCAGCCUCUCGGAACUGGUGAGAUUUGAGAUUCAUGGAAGGCAGAGAUUUGUAGCUGUGUAUUUAAAUCUGUAGCCUCCUCCAGUGCAGGCAUUACAUGUUUAUAUUGGAUAACAGGCAAUGAGAAUCCUGGCUGUUCUAGAUAUACUUGUGCUUUUUUACUUGUUUCAGAGCUAGUCUUGGUUCAGGACAAACCACACGAUUGGUUUCUGUUAAGCAGUGAUUCUAUUUAUGUUCUUGUUGUUGAUU